AAUAAUUAUAAUUUAUCAAACUAAAUAACUGUAAUCUCCGAAAUUACAACCCUAGUAGUGCCAUAUAAAUUUUAAAAGAUCAAAUUUCCAAAAAAAUUUUUGUGAGGCUUCCCUCUCUCUCUCUAUCUCUCUGUCUGAUUUUUAGUUCAUUAAUCUUGCUUUAAGGACUCGGCUUUCUUUCGCUAUCCUCCAUUAUUUUGAAACCAACAAUCGUUGGAAAAGAUCUGACAGCAAACAAUGUUUAUUAAAAAGCCUCAGUAAAUAUUUCACGUCAACUUCUAUUAUUCAAGAUUGGAAGUAGGACAGGACCCUUCCGUUUUCCUGUCGGAACAAUGGAUCGUUCCGGAAUUCCGCGCGGAUGGAAAUGGGUGUAUGGAACUAAAUAAAAGAGGGUCGCUUUCCUCGGAGAAAGUGAAUCAAUCGAUAACCGAACAAAGAAUGAGUAAACGUUACAAGUCUUUUAUUCGUUUGACAUUACGCUGCUGAUGGUCAUAAAUUCCUUUGCUUCUCCCUUUGUUUACGAUAAGUGUCAUCUCUAUAUUUUAUUUAAGGCAAGUGUUAGUCCAAAUGCAGUAUUUACAGUGCUUUGGGUACAAGUCUGAUGGGUAAAGACGGCACCAAAUGGGUUUAUAACGCAUGCGCUCGUUAGAUAAACCAUGUUAACUUGCCGCAGCAAUGGUAGAGGAUAAUAGAUGUUUAUAAAAUGCCGGUUGAACCUAAUUGUUGAAAUUAUAUUCCAUGUAUUCACGAAAUUUAAACAUUUUAAUAAAGAUAACCAUCAUAUCGAGCUAUAAGUUCACACAUAAAAAAAUUUGUUUCCAAUGCUGUCAUACAUGUGAAGUUAUGAUAUAUUUUGAGUCCAUUAUAUUUUAUAUAACACUGAUCAUAUCUGAAUGUUAGAAGUCACAGUUGGAUUUAGAAAGGACGAAAAUUUGAGAUACAAGAAAGCUUUCUGUCGGUCAAGCUGUCGAAUGACGUCUACACGUCCUGCCUGGAAAGUUUUAACUUCGAUCUUCUGCCUCUCUGGUUAUAUCUCCAGAAAUUUGACUUGUGUUCGGAAUAUAUUUUAUGAUCGAACACUUUCUCGUAAGUUUUAACAUCUGGAAAAGAUCCAUAAUCAAUCUUAAUUACGGUAUUUGUAAACCGAAUUGGUUUCUGUUACUUGCUGUGUUUUGAAACCGAGGAAAAAAAAAAAAAAAAACAUGAUUG
rnacentral:lncRNA from 1 species